rnacentral:rRNA from 1 species
GACGAACGCUGGCGGCGUGCUUAACACAUGCAAGUCGAACGGAAAGGCCCUGCUUUUGUGGGGUGCUCGAGUGGCGAACGGGUGAGUAACACGUGAGUAACCUGCCCUUGACUUUGGGAUAACUUCAGGAAACUGGGGCUAAUACCGGAUAGGAGCUCCUGCUGCAUGGUGGGGGUUGGAAAGUUUCGGCGGUUGGGGAUGGACUCGCGGCUUAUCAGCUUGUUGGUGGGGUAGUGGCUUACCAAGGCUUUGACGGGUAGCCGGCCUGAGAGGGUGACCGGCCACAUUAGGACUAAGAUACGGCCCAGACUCCUACGGGAGGCAGCAGUGGGGAAUAUUGCACAAUGGGCGGAAGCCUGAGGCAGCAACGCCGCGUGCGGGAUGACGGCCUUCGGGUUGUAAACCGCUUUCGCCUGUGACGAAGCGUGAGUGACGGUAAUGGGUAAAGAAGCACCGGCUAACUACGUG